UACGGAGGGUGCGAGCGUUAUCCGGAUUCACUGGGUUUAAAGGGUGCGUAGGUGGGAAUGUAAGUCAGUGGUGAAAUCUCUGAGCUUAACUCAGAAACUGCCAUUGAUACUAUGUUUCUUGAAUUUUCUGGAGGUCAGCGGAAUAUGUCAUGUAGCGGUGAAAUGCUUAGAUAUGACAUAGAACACCAAUUGCGAAGGCAGCUGGCUACAGGGAUAUUGACACUGAGGCACGAAAGCGUGGGGAACAAACAGG
rnacentral:rRNA from 1 species